GCCAGAGUGGCGAAAUUGGUAGACGCAGGGGAUUCAAAAUCCCCCGCCCUUGCGGGUGUGCCGGUUCGAGUCCGGCCUCUGGUACCA
rnacentral:tRNA from 1 species